rnacentral:rRNA from 1 species
AACGAACGCUGGCGGCAGGCUUAACACAUGCAAGUCGAACGGGUGUAGCAAUACACCAGUGGCAGACGGGUGAGUAACACGUGGGAACCUUCCUCGUAGUACGGAACAACUCAGGGAAACUUGUGCUAAUACCGUAUACGUCCGAGAGGAGAAAGAUUUAUCGCUAUGAGACGGGCCCGCGUCGGAUUAGGUAGUUGGUGGGGUAACGCCUACCAAGCCUACGAUCCGUAGCUGAUCUGAGAGGAUGAUCGGCCACACUGGGACUGAGACACGGCCCAGACUCCUACGGGAGGCAGCAGUGGGGAAUCUUGGACAAUGGGCGCAAGCCUGAUCCAGCCAUGCCGCGUGAGUGAAGAAGGCCUUAGGGUUGUAAAGCUCUUUUGGCAGGGACGAUAAUGACGGUACCUGCAGAAUAAGCCCCGGCAAACUUCGUGCCAGCCGCCGCGGUAAU